AAAGACCUUAUGCUUUUGGAGCGGCCGAUGUCUGAUUAGCUAGUUGGUGGGGUAAUUGCCUACCAAGGCGACGAUCAGUAGUUGGUCUGAGAGGACGGCCAGCCACACUGGGACUGAGACACGGCCCAGACUCCUACGGGAGGCAGCAGUGGGGAAUUUUGGACAAUGGGCGCAAGCCUGAUCCAGCAAUGCCGCGUGAGUGAAGAAGGCCUUCGGGUUGUAAAGCUCUUUCAGUUGAGAAGAAAAGAUUGUAACUAAUAAUUACAGUUCAUGACGGUAUCACCAGAAGAAGCACCGGCUAACUACGUGCCAGCAGCCGCGGUAAUACGUAGGGUGCGAGCGUUAAUCGGAAUUACUGGGCGUAAAGGGUGCGCAGGCGGUUCUGUAAGUCAGAUGUGAAAUCCCCGGGCUUAACCUGGGAACU
rnacentral:rRNA from 1 species